CUAAAUUGUAGUCUAAAUAUGGACGAGAGAUCAAUAGCAAACAAGUAUCAUGAGGGAAAGAUGAAAAGGACUUUGAAAAGAGAGUCAAAGAGUGCUUGAAAUUGUCGGGAGGGAAGCGGAUGGGGGAUCGGCUCGGGGCGUGGACCGACGCGGGUCGUGGUGAUGGCCCAAGCUUGGGCAUUCGAUAUGCCCUCAGAGACAUCAUCACCGUGAUCAUGGAAUGCAGCACGCGGUGUCUCAGCAUGCCUUGACACCUGCGUGUUCCCCAUCUGACCCAUAUUGAAACACAAACCAAGGAGUCUGACAUGUGUACGAGUGAAUGGGCCAAGAAAGCUGUAAAGCACAAGAAAGUUGAUUGAUAGGAUCCUUUAUGGGUGCACCAUUGAUCGACCUUGAUCUUCUAAGAAGGGUUCGAGUGAGAGCAUGCCCAUCGGGACCCGAAAGAUGGUGAACUAUGCCUGAGCGGGGUGAAGCCAAAGGAAACUUUGGUGGAGGCCCACAUCGAUACUGGCGUGCAAAUCAUUCGUCUGACUUGGGUAUAGGGGUGAAAGACUAAUCAAACCGUCUAGUAGCUAGUUCCCUCUGAAGUUUUCCUCAGGCUAGCUGAAGCCCCAACGAGUUCUAUUGAGUAAAGCCAAUCAUUAGAGGCAUCAGGAGCAUAAUGCCCUCGACCUAUUCUCAAACUUUAAAUAGGUAAGACGACGUGACUACUUCGUUGAGCUGUGCCACAGAAUCGAGAGCUCCAAGUGGGCUAUUUUUGGUAAGCAGAACUGGUGAUGUGGGAUGAACUGAAAUCCGAGUUACGGUGCCCAACUACGUGCUAACCUGAAACCCAUAAAGGGUGUUGCUUGAUUAAAACAGUAGGACGGUGGUCAUGGAAGUCAAAAUCCACUAAGGAAUGUGUAACAACUCACCUGUCGAAUCAACCAGCCCCGAAAAUGGAUGGCGCUUAAGCGUGCGACCUAUACCCGAUCAUCGGGGCAAGGGCUAAGCCUUGAUGAGUAGGAGGGUGUGACGAUCGUCGUAAAACCUGGGGCACGAGCCCAGGUGAAAUGCCAUCGGUGCAGAUCUUAGUGGUAGUAGCAAAUAUUCAAAUGAAAACUUUGAAGGCCGAAGAAGGGAAAGGUUCCAUGUGAAUGGCAUUUGGACAUGGGUUAGUCGAUCCUAAGAGGCAGGGAAAGCCCGUCUGACAUCACGUCCCACGUGAGCUUCGAAAGGGAAUCAGGUUAAAAUUCUUGAACUGGGAUACGACAACUGACGACAACUUUAGGGAGUCCGGAGACGUGGACGGGGGCCUCAGAAAGAGUUAUCUUUUCUAUUUAACGACCCGUCUACCCUGGAAAUGACUUAGCUAGAGCUAGGGUCCAAAGGUCGAAAGAGCACCGUACAUCGCAUGGUAUCUAGUGCACCCUCGAUGGCCCUUGAAAAUCCAAAAGAUCGAGUGCUGUCUGUGCCCGAUCGUACUUAUAAUCGCAUCAGGUCUCCACGGUGAACAGCCUUUGGUCAUGGAAUAAUGUACGUAAGAAAAGUCAAUAAAAUGGAUCUAUAACCUCGAGAAAAGGAUUGGCUCUGAGGGCUGGUCACAGAGGUCCCAGUCCUGAACCCAUCGACUGCCAGUGCACUAUUCGUGCUGCUCCCAUGGUGAGAACGGGUCACCGCGUGCCGAUCGGGGGACGGACUGAGAACGACACCCUCGGGGGCCUUCCCCGGGUGAUGAACAAUCGACUCAAAAUUGGUACGGAUAAGGGCAAUCUGACUAUUUAAUUAAAAAAAGGCAUUGCGAUGGUCCUUACGGAUGCUCAUGCAAUGUGAUUUCUGCCCAGUGCUCUGAAUGUCAAAGUGAAGAAAUUCAACCAAGCGCGGGUAAACGACAGGAGUAACUAUGACUCUCUUAAGGUAGCCAAAUGCCUCAUCAUCUAAUUAGUGACGGGCAUGAAUGGAUUAACAAGAUUCCUACAAUCCCUGUCUACCAUCCAGCGAAAUCACAGCUAAGGGAAUGGGCUUGGUAGAAUCAGCGGGGAAAAAAGACCUUAUUGAGCUCGACUCUAGUCCGACUUUGUGAAAUGACUUGAGAGGUGUAGGAUAAGUGGGAGCCCCCGAGCAAAAUUGAAAUACCACUACUUUUAACAUUAUUUUAUUUAUUUCAUGAAUCAGAGGUGGGGCACGACCCCUUCUUUUGUACCCAAGGUCGGCCUCACCCGGGUGAAAGACAUUGUCAGGUGAGGAGUUUGGCUGGGGUGACACAUCUAUUAAAAGAUAACACAGGUGUCCUAAGAUGAGCUUAACAAGAACAAAAAUCUCAUGAUAGCGUGGCCUAUUGAUCCUUUCGACCUUUGGGAUUUGAAGCUAGAGGUGACAAAAAAGUUACCACAGGGAUAACUGGCUUGUGGCAGCCAAGCGUUCAUAGCGACAUUGCUUUUUAAUCCUUCGAUGUAGGCUCUUCCUAUCAUUGUGAAGCUGAAUUCACCAAGUGUUAGAUUAUUCAUCCACCAAUACGGAACGUGAGCUGGGUUUAGACCAUCAUGAGAUAGGUUAGUUUUACGCUACUGAUGGUGAUGGCGUGAUAGUAAUUCAACCUAGUACGAGAGGAAUCAUUGAUUCGCACAAUUGGUCAUCGCGCUUGGUUGAAAAGCCAAUGGCACAAAGCUAUCGUGCGUUGGAUUAUGACUAAACACCUCUAAGUCAGAAUCUGGGAUAGAAGUGACACGUGCUUCCGUCGCCUAAUUGCCGACCCACAGUAGGGGCCCAUGGCCCCCAAGGGCACAUGUUGUAGGUGCAACCCCCACAGCAGACGAGCCACGCGAGCCUCUUUGGAGCUCAAUUCC
rnacentral:rRNA from 1 species